AACGAACGCUGGCGGCAUGCCUAACACAUGCAAGUCGAACGAGACCUUCGGUUCUAGUGGCGCACGGGUGCGUAACGCGUGGGAACCUGCCCUUAGGUUCGGAAUAACUCCCCGAAAGGGGUGCUAAUACCGGAUAAUGUCUUCGGACCAAAGAUUUAUCGCCUUUGGAUGGGCCCGCGUUGGAUUAGCUAGUUGGUAGGGUAAAAGCCUACCAAGGCGACGAUCCAUAGCUGGUCUGAGAGGAUGAUCAGCCACACUGGGACUGAGACACGGCCCAGACUCCUACGGGAGGCAGCAGUGGGGAAUAUUGGACAAUGGGCGAAAGCCUGAUCCAGCAAUGCCGCGUGAGUGAUGAAGGCCUUAGGGUUGUAAAGCUCUUUUGCCCGGGAUGAUAAUGACAGUACCGGGAGAAUAAGCUCCGGCUAACUCCGUG
rnacentral:rRNA from 1 species